CAUUACCAAGAACCACAAAAAAAGACAAAACGAAGCAACGGAACGGUGCAUCUGCGCCAGUGACGGGCCAGUCCUGGGGUGCACGGUAAGACGUCCCGGGCGCUGUUUGACGGUGGAAGGGAGCGUUUCCAGGCACUCUUGUGCUUGGGCGUAUUGACCCCCCACCGUCCUUACCUGACACGCACCGGGUCGCACAGAGCGGCCAGGCCCCCCCACAGUGCACAUGUUCCCCUUCCGUUGCGGAGUGGAGUCGAACCAAGACCCUCUGCGUACCUUGCCUUCCUUGCUUCCCCCCGACCACCUGGGCGGGGGGGAGAAAACAAACCACAAACUCUUUGCGAAUAACCGACGUCAGAAAACAAAACAAAAAAAGUUAAAACUUUCAACAACGGAUCUCUUGGUUCCCACAUCGAUGAAGAACGCAGCGAAAUGCGAUAAGUAAUGUGAAUUGCAGAAUUCAGUGAAUCAUCGAAUCUUUGAACGCACAUUGCGCCCCCUGGUAUUCCGGGGGGCAUGCCUGUUCGAGCGUCACAAACACCUCUCCCCCUCGGGUUUAGCUACCCUUGGGGGGUAUUGGCCAAUGGCAUUGCGAGAUAGCAAUUGUUAGCCAGGAGCCCAAAUGCAUUAGUUUCCCGCCAUUUUUAAGAUGCAACAGCACCGAGGGGUAUCCAAAUCGGGGUUCUAAUGGUUUGAGGGAGGCCCGCUGCGGUAGUACGCUCGUGGCCUUCUCCCGCCCCACCGCCGGACCCACAUUAGUUGCAGUCGCGGGCGUAAAGCGACAUCCGAUCAUCCCUCGCGGGGUGUUGACGAUCAUCGGGGUUAAUAGCCCCUACACAAAGUUUGACCUCGGAUCAGGUAGGGAUACCCGCUGAACUUAA
rnacentral:rRNA from 1 species